GUUUUCUGAGUUGCGCGGAGGCUGAAAAACUCGGAGAGCAUGUGUUGUCAUCAGCUUCGUCUCUCUAUACACCGUGAGAUGGGAGUUAAAUAACAGCACGAGAUUU
rnacentral:snoRNA from 1 species